AUUGAACGCUGGCGGCAGGCCUAACACAUGCAAGUCGAGCGAGCGGCGGACGGGUGAGUAAUGUAUGGGAAACUGCCUGAUGGAGGGGGAUCACUACUGGAAACGGUGGCUAAUACCGCAUACUCUCAGAUGAGCCCAGAUGGGAUUAGCUAGUAGGUGGGGUAAAGGCACACAUAGGCGACGAUCGCUAGCUGGUCUGAGAGGAGGAUCAGACACACUGGGACUGAGACACGGCCCAGACUCCUACGGGAGGCAGCAGUGGGGAAUAUUGCACAAUGGGCGCAAGCCUGAGGCAGCCAUGCCGCGUGGAUGAAGAAGGCCUUAGGGUUGUAAAGUACUUUCAGCGGGGAGGCGUUACCCGCAGAAGAAGCACCGGCUAACUCCGUGCCAGCAGCCGCGGUAAUAC
rnacentral:rRNA from 1 species